ACCAGGGUGGCCGAGUAGUUAAAGGCAUUAGACUUAAGAGUCAAGGGACAUAUGUCCAUGUGGGUUUGAACCCCACUGCUGGUA
rnacentral:tRNA from 1 species